AACGAACGCUGGCGGCAUGCCUAACACAUGCAAGUCGAACGGGAUCCUAGCUUGCUAGGUGAGAGUGGCGGACGGGUGAGUAACACGUGGGAAUCUGCCUUUUUGGUUCGGGAUAACCGCGGGAAACUGCGGCUAAUACCGAAUGCCCUCGAGAGAGGAAAGAUUUAUCGCCAGAAGAGGAGCCCGCGUCCGAUUAGGUAGUUGGUGGGGUAAAGGCCUACCAAGCCGACGAUCGGUAGCUGGUCUGAGAGGAUGAUCAGCCACACUGGGACUGAGAUACGGCCCAGACUCCUACGGGAGGCAGCAGUGGGGAAUAUUGGACAAUGGGGGCAACCCUGAUCCAGCAAUGCCGCGUGAGUGAUGAAGGCCUUAGGGUUGUAAAGCUCUUUUGCCAGGAAGAUGAUGACUGUACCUGGAGAAUAAGCCCGGCUAACUUCGUGCCAGCAGCCAC
rnacentral:rRNA from 1 species